GAGAAUACGUCUAUACNCNUAACACCAUUUGGAGACAUCUCCAGGUGGUCAAAGGAGGCGACUCCGGCAUAGGAUGGCCAUGCGUCGCAUUAGCUAGUCGGCGGGGUAACGGCCCACCGAGGCGACGAUGCGUAGGGGUUCUGAGAGGAAGGUCCCCCACACUGGUACUGAGACACGGACCAGACUCCUACGGGAGGCAGCAG
rnacentral:rRNA from 1 species